GAUGAAGAACGUAGUGAAAUGCGAUAAGUAAUGUGAAUUGCAGAAUUCAGCGAAUCAUCGAAUCUUUGAACGCACAUUGCGCCCGCCAGUAUUCUGGCGGGCAUGCCUGUCUGAGCGUCAUUUCAACCCUCAUGCCCCUAGGGCGUGGUGUUGGGGAUCGGCCAAAGCCCGCGAGGGACGGCCGGCCCCUAAAUCUAGUGGCGGACCCGUCGUGGCCUCCUCUGCGAAGUAGUGAUAUUCCGCAUCGGAGAGCGACGAGCCCCUGCCGUUAAACCCCCAACUUUCCAAGGUUGACCUCAGAUCAGGUAGGAAUACCCGCUGAACUUAAGCAUAUCAAUAAGCGGAGGA
rnacentral:misc_RNA from 1 species